AUUGAACGCUGGCGGCAGGCCUAACACAUGCAAGUCGAACGAGUGGCGGACGGGUGAGUAAUGUCUGGGAAACUGCCUGAUGGAGGGGGAUAACUACUGGAAACGGUAGCUAAUACCGCAUACCAUCAGAUGUGCCCAGAUGGGAUUAGCUUGUUGGUGGGGUAACGGCUAACCAAAGCGACGAGCCCUAGAUGGUCUGAGAGGAUGACCCUCCCAACUGUAACUGAGACACGGUCCAGACUCCUACGUGCGGCAGCAGUGGUGAAUAUGGCACAGUGGGCGCAAGCCUGAUGCAGACAUGCCGCGUGUAUGAAGAAGGCCUUCGGGUUGUAAAGUACUUUCAGCGGGGAGGCGUUACCCGCAGAAGAAGCACCGGCUAACUCCGUGCCAGCAGCCGCGGUAAUAC
rnacentral:rRNA from 1 species